CGUCAAGAAGCUAAACAGGACACAGCAUUAGCCUUUUAAGCUAAAAACUGGUGAUUGCCGACCACCCUUGACGA
rnacentral:tRNA from 1 species